rnacentral:rRNA from 1 species
AGAGUUUGAUCCUGGCUCAGGAUGAACGCUGGCGGCGUGCUUAACACAUGCAAGUCGAACGGGGGCGUGAUGUGCGAGAGGGAUAGUUUACUAGACUUCAAACUUUUCACGCCCUAGUGGCGGACGGGUGAGUAACGCGUGGGUAACCUGCCAUAUACAGGGGGAUAACACUUAGAAAUAGGUGCUAAUACCGCAUAAGCGCACAGGGGCGCAUGCCCCGGUGUGAAAAACUCCGGUGGUAUAUGAUGGACCCGCGUCUGAUUAGCCAGUUGGCAGGGUAACGGCCUACCAAAGCGACGAUCAGUAGCCGGCCUGAGAGGGCGGACGGCCACAUUGGGACUGAGACACGGCCCAAACUCCUACGGGAGGCAGCAGUGGGGGAUAUUGCACAAUGGGGGAAACCCUGAUGCAGCGACGCCGCGUGAGUGAAGAAGUAUUUCGGUAUGUAAAGCUCUAUCAGCAGGGAAGAAAAUGACAGUACCUGACCAAGAAGCCCCGGCUAACUACGUGCCAGCAGCCGCGGUAAUACGUAGGGGGCAAGCCUUAUCCGGAU